rnacentral:rRNA from 1 species
AGUCGAGCAGGUACGAAAGUAGGUCUUAGUGAUCCGGUGGUUCUGUAUGGAAGGGCCAUCGCUCAACGGAUAAAAGGUACUCUGGGGAUAACAGGCUGAUACCGCCCAAGAGUUCAUAUCGACGGCGGUGUUUGGCACCUCGAUGUCGGCUCAUCUCAUCCUGGGGCUGAAGCAGGUCCCAAGGGUAUGGCUGUUCGCCAUUUAAAGAGGUACGCGAGCUGGGUUUACGUCGUGAGACAGUUCGGUCCCUAUCUACCGUGGGCGCUGGAAAUUUGAGAGGAUCUGCUCCUAGUACGAGAGGACCAGAGUGGACGAACCUCUGGUGUACCGGUUGUGACGCCAGUCGCAUCGCCGGGUAGCUAUGUUCGGAAGGGAUAACCGCUGAAAGCAUCUAAGCGGGAAGCCUACCUCAAGAUAAGAUUUCCCUAGGACUUUAUGUCCUCUAAAGAGCCGUUCGAGACUAGGACGUUGAUAGGUUGGAUGUGGAAGCAUAGUGAUAUGUGAAGCUGACCAAUACUAAUUGCUCGUGAGGCUUGACUAUACAACACCCAAGCAGUUG